GUAGUCCACGCCCUAAACUAUGUCAACUGGUUGUCGGGGAAGCAAUUCCUUGGUAACGAAGCUAACGCGUGAAGUUGACCGCCUGGGGAGUACGGCCGCAAGGUUAAAACUCAAAGGAAUUGACGGGGACCCGCACAAGCGGUGGAUUAUGUGGAUUAAUUCGAUGCAACGCGAAAAACCUUACCUACCCUUGACAUGUACGGAACCUCGCAGAGAUGUGAGAGUGCCCGAAAGGGAACCGUAACACAGGUGCUGCAUGGCUGUCGUCAGCUCGUGUCGUGAGAUGUUGGGUUAAGUCCCGCAACGAGCGCAACCCUUGCCAUUAGUUGCUACAUUCAGUUGGGCACUCUAAUGGAACUGCCGGUGACAAACCGGAGGAAGGUGGGGAUGACGUCAAGUCCUCAUGGCCCUUAUGGGUAGGGCUUCACACGUAAUACAAUGGCAGGUACAGAGGGCAGCCAACCCGCGAGGGGGAGCUAAUCCCAGAAAGCCUGUCGUAGUCCGGAUUGUAGUCUGCAACUCGACUACAUGAAGCCGGAAUCGCUAGUAAUCGCGGAUCAGCAUGUCGCGGUGAAUACGUUCCCGGGUCUUGUACACACCGCCCGUCACACCAUGGGAGUGGGUUCCACCAGAAGUAGUUAGCCUAACCGCAAGGAGGGCGACUACCACGGUGAGAUUCAUGACUGGGGUG
rnacentral:rRNA from 1 species